rnacentral:tRNA from 1 species
GGGCCUGUAGCUCAGCUGGGAGAGCACUGCAUUCGCAUUGCAGGGGUCAGCGGUUCGAGUCCGCUCAGGUCCA